UACGUAGGGUGCGAGCGUUAAUCGGAAUUACUGGGCGUAAAGCGUGCGCAGGCGGUUCUAUAAGACAGAUGUGAAAUCCCCGGGCUUAACCUGGGAAUGGCAUUUGGGACUGCAAGGCUUGAGUGCGGCAGAGGAGACUGGAAUUCCUGGUGUAGCAGUGAAAUGCGUAGAUAUCAGGAGGAACACCGAUGGCGAAGGCAGGUCACUGGGCCGCAACUGACGCUGAGGAGCGAAAGCAUGGGGAGCGAACAGG
rnacentral:rRNA from 1 species